rnacentral:lncRNA from 1 species
AAAAAUCUAAGAUCUUUGAGAAGCAGUGACAGGGUUUUGCGCUCAAAAUCACAAGAGAAAUCUAAAGCUACUGAGUUGAGCAAGAAAUCUACUGCUACUGAGUUGAGCAAGAAAUCUACUGCUACUGAGUCGAGCAAGAAAUCUACUGCUACUGAGUCGAGCAAGAAAUCUACUGUUACUGAUUCGAGCAAGAAAUCUACUGCUACUGAGUCGAGCAAGAAACCUACUGCUACUGAGUCGAGCAAGAAAUCUACUGCUACCGAGUCGAGCAAGAAACCUACUGCUACCGAGUCAAGCAAGAA